GUUAGCUAGGUGCCAGCGGGUGGGGGAAUAUGGAGGUGGCAAGCGUGUGUCUGAGGUAGUGGGUUUAAAGGGUUAGUAGUGUGCCCUGUGAGUAAGUGGUGAAAUAGCUCAGCUUAACUGUGCAUGGUCCAUUGAUACUGCAGCACUUGAGUACAGACGAGGUAGGCGGAAUUGACGGUGUAGCGGUGAAAUGCUUAGAUAUCGUCAAGAACACCGAUAGCGAAGGCAGCUUACUAGACUGUAACUGACACUGAUGCACGAAAGUGUGGGGAUCAAACAGGAUUAGAUACCCCAGUAGUC
rnacentral:rRNA from 1 species